rnacentral:rRNA from 1 species
GGUGAACGCUGGCGGCGUGCUUAAGACAUGCAAGUCGAACGGCAGUCUUCGGACUGUAGUGGCGCACGGGUGAGUAACGCGUAACUGACCUACCCCAAAGUCGCGGAUAACGAUUCGAAAGAAUCGCUAAUACGUGAUGUGCUGUCAGAUUGUGUUCUGCCAGUAAAGAUUGAUUGCUUUGGGAUGGGGUUGCGUUCCAUCAGCGAGUUGGUGGGGUAAAGGCCCACCAAGGCGACGACGGAUAGCCGGCCUGAGAGGGUGGCCGGCCACAGGGGCACUGAGACACGGGUCCCACUCCUACGGGAGGCAGCAGUUAGGAAUCUUCCACAAUGGGCGAAAGCCUGAUGGAGCGACGCCGCGUGAGGGAUGAAGGUCUUCGGAUCGUAAACCUCUGGAUCAGGGACGAAAGACACUUCGGUGGGAUGACGGUACCUGAGUAAUAGCACCGGCUAACUCCGUGCCAGCCGCCGCGGUAAUAC